rnacentral:lncRNA from 1 species
CUUUAGCGACUCUUUAACUUCAUACUUUGAAUGCAUCAUUUAUCUUUAGGGAAAACUUCAAAUACCACCCCUGUGGUUUCGCACUUUUUCACUUUACUACUCUGUGGUUUAAAGUGUAUCAAUUUAGUAUCCUGUCAUUUCGCACUUUCUCACUUUAUACCGCUUUAAAAUGCAUCAAUUUAGUACUAUGUGGUUUCAUUUUUUUUCUUUUCGUCGGCUCCUCUGUUAAUAUUUCGUUAAAUUAUACACGAAAAAUUUCAGAUACUCUAACUAAGUUUAUCGAAUAUUUAUUUAAUACCCUUUUGUUUUAACUUUGUCACUGAUUCUUUUUUCCUCCAUUAAUAUUUUGUUAAAUUAUAUACAAAAAACUUUAGAUACCCUAGUUAGGUUUAUCGAAUAUUCACUUUAGUAUUCUUUAGUUUUUAACUUUGUCCCUGAUUUAACGAAAAAAAUUAGUGAAAUAGAUAAUAAAAAGAGAAAAAUAAAACCACAAGGUACUAACUUAAUACACUUUAAACCAUAGGGUACCAAAUUAAGUGAGAAAGUCGGAAACCACAUUGGCUAACUUGAUACACUUUAAACCAU